ensembl:snRNA U6 U6 spliceosomal RNA
GUGCUCUUUUCAGCAGCACAUACGCUUAAAACUGUAAUGAUACAGAUAAGAUUAGAAUGGUCGCUGUGCAAGGAUUCAUGAAGCACUCCCUAUUAAA